rnacentral:misc_RNA from 1 species
CUUUGCUGCCGCUCGCGGUGGCUCCCCUUAAAUUCAUCGGUCGGGCUUUCGUGCGGCUCUGUCCCUUGGCGUUGUAUUACCCUCGUCGCUGGAUGGCUCGCGAUACAGCGCCCCUCUUCGACCUGCCUCUGGAGUGGCGGUCUUCAACAUGUAUUUUGUGAUCUGACCUCAAAUCAGGUAGGACUACCCGCUGAACUUAA